rnacentral:misc_RNA from 1 species
AGCUUUUGAUGUGCUUUUGGGGAAGACAACACUGUUUCCUCCAAAUAUUUUGUCAGAGCAUGGUGUACCUGUGUAUAGAGCUGUUCAAAAGCCCGGCGAAUUCGUAGUAACUUUUCCUAGAGCGUAUCAUGCAGGAUUUAGUCAUGGUUUUAAUUGUGGUGAGGCAGUUAACUUUGCAACUGGCGAUUGGUUUCCUAUGGGUUCAAUUUCUAGCCGUCGCUAUGCACUUUUGAACAGGGUGCCCUUACUUCCCCAUGAGGAACUUCUCUGCAAAGAAGCAAUGCUUCUGUGUACGAGUUUGAAACUGGAAGAUCCUGACUAUUCCUCUUCAGACUUGAUCACUCAUCGUAGCAUCAAAGUUUCUUUUUUGAAUUUGAUGAGGUUUCAGCAUCGUGCUCGUUGGUGCCUCGCAAGGUUAAAAGCAUUUUCAUGCAUAUCUUUAUUCACACAUGGUACCAUUCUUUGCAGCAUAUGCAAGCGUGAUUGUUAUGUAGCUUACCUUAACUGCAACUGCUAUGCACAUGCAGUGUGCCUUCGCCAUGAACCUAGGUCACUUGAUUUUCCUUGCGGCAGCAAUAGAACCCUUUGCCUAAGGGAAGAUAUUUUGGACAUGGAAACUGCAGCUAGACAGUUUGAGCAGGAUAAGGUAGUUCUGCAUGAAGUUCAACAGCAACACAGAAAAACUGAUGACUUUUCUAAACUUUUAAAAAUGUUUCCACGAGCCGAGGAUGAUGGUUAUGUUCCAUAUUGUGAAAUCAAUUUUGAAUGGCCAGAGGACUCAGUUGAACAAACAAUUUAUGAGGAAGCACCAAAUGGUUCUGGUCCUGUUGUGUCUGAUCUCAACUCUUCAAUGGAGCCAAAAGAUUAUCUUUCAACUGGUGUUAAUGUACAGGGAAAUGCUAACUGUAACUUAGGGGAUAGUUCAUCAAUGAAGCUCCAUGGUGAUGUUUUUAGUUGUGGGAGUGAAAGAUCGGAGAUUUCAUCAAGUGCUAGCAGUAAAGUCCAUCAGAAAGUAGCUCAAGAGACGGAUUGUAGAACUAUUAUAGAUCAAGACAGUGAUGAGUCUGAUACAGAGGUUUUCAGAGUGAAGAGACGUCCUCGAGCAGAACAUAGAAGUGUACAUGAUUCAAUGUCUAUCAACGUUGAAAAUCAGAGUUUUAAAAGAUUAAAGAAACAUCAAUCAGGACGAUUGGGGUCAUUGUGUUUGCCAGAGCAUUCCUCGACUUGUGAUAUAAAUCAUAGGUCCGUUGCUAUUUCAAGCCAAUCGAAGGAAGCAUUGGACUUCCAUCCCAGAGACAAGUCAGUGAGAGGUGGUACAGUUCCAGUCUGUAUUAAGUUGAAGAAAGGGGUUGGUUAUGAACAAGAUGAGCACAAGAGAGAUGAUAGGUUACCGUUUGAAUUGGGGCAGAGUAAGAGGAGGGAACCAGGGAGAACAGAGAGUGGGUCGAAGCGUUUGAAAGUCAGAGGUCCUUCAGUUUUAGGGUUUGGAGGUCGGAUGGAUGGAUUGAAUAGAUAGGUAACUGAAAAAGUAAAGGAGCAUCGACUUUGCUAACACACAGAUAUUCUCUAACAACACGAUAAAGAAAGGUAAGCAUUAGAUUAAAGAAGAGUUCUUUGUGCAGGCCUCUAAAGUUGGGGCAAGUAGCACAGUGGUGAUUGUUAUUGUUCUUUGUCCAGGGAGGAGAACCUCUCUCCUUGUUAUUCCACUGCAGAUAGAUAGUAGGUGAAUUCUCUCAUGUACAUUUUUAUUUUUAACAAGUUGAUCCAAUUCUUGUGAGGUGCAAAUGGGUAUUCCCAAAUAGCCCUCUGAUUUAAUGUCAAGCCUGUUGCCUUCUCCCUAGUUUAGGGUUCAUUAUUCUUUUGUAGCUACAUGUCCUUUUUUGGCUUGAAACUACAUGAAUAAAUACAUAGCAUUUUU